rnacentral:rRNA from 2 species
CACGAGGGUCUCACUGUCUUAAGGAAAUUUCCAGUGAAAUUGAAUUUGUAGUGAAGAUGCUACAUCCAAAUUGUUAGACAAGAAGUCCCCAUGGAACUUUACUGGAGACUUAUGUGGCUAAAAUUAAUUUAUUUCUUAUAAAUAAAUGGUUUUAAAAUGUGGUGUUAACCCCUCGGAUUGACUAGGGUUAUAAAAGAUCACUCUUUUAUUUAAAGAAAGCCAACUCAAAAAUUUAUGUCUUUGGGACUUAAUAAGUGGGACAGUUUGGUUGGGGCGACCGCCUUUAAAAAAGUAACGAAGGCGGGCUUAAGAUACAUAUUUAGUGAUGUCUGACUGCCAAGGGGAGAUCCUGAGCAGACACUUACUUUUUAGGUGGGUUUAAGUGACCCGUUAAUUUAGGGUGAAAUAGUUAACGAUAAACA